rnacentral:misc_RNA from 1 species
GAACGCACAUUGCACUCUAUUUCGAUAGAGUAUGCCUGUUUGAGAAUCUAAUGUAUUCUUUUUUCUAUAUAUAAUUUUCAUUGUAUUUAGGAAAGAUUUGUGGAAUCUCUAAUUUUUUAGAGUUCUAUUAAUUAUAUAGCUUGGUAAUUAAUCUUGGCUGAAAAGUAUUUGAAUGGAACUUUUAGUUUCUCCCUAUACAGAAUAAGUCGUUUAAUAAAAUCCAAGUUCAAAAACACUAUGAAAAAGAUUUAUUAUUAACCAAACUCUGGUGUAAAAACCAAUUGUUUGGCGAAAAUAACCUUUUUGAACCAUGGUCUCAAAUCAGGCAGGAUUACCCGCUGAACUUAAG